UAAUGAAACUAAUUAAAGUUGUUUUUUUAUUUUUCUAGGUCGCGAGUUAUUUUUUAAACAUAAUUUUUUACAAAUCCAUCAGACUAAAAAAAAUGAUCUUAAAUUAAGGAAGAUACUGUAUAUAUACGUAUAUAUAAGUAUAUAUACGUAUAUAUAAGUAGAUGCAAGUAUAUACAAAUAUGUAUAAGUAUAUACAAGUAUAUAAAAAUAUAUAUAUGUUGAUGUGUCACUGCAACAGUUGCUAUCACUACUAGCAAUGAUAGCUAAAUGCACUAUCUCUAAUAUGUAAAAAAAAAAAAAAAAAAAAAAAAAAAAUGAGCUUAAAAAAUAAAGAAAAAGAUAUGAAUGGCCAAAAUAAAAGGAACUAUGACGAAAUCAAAAAAAAAAAAAUUCAAGAAAAGCAGAAUGAUAAAGUAAAUGAAAAAAAAAGAACUACAAAAGCAAACACAAGUACCAACACAAGUACCAACACAAGUACCAACACAAGUACCAACAAAAGUGCCAACACAAGUACCAACAAAAGUGCCAACAAAAGUGCCAACACAAGCAACAUGACGAACCAAAAAAAACAUUACUUGAACAAUGUAGAUAAGGCAUUACUAAAAAAGAAUGUCGACUGUAUUAAUUAUGCAUACACCAAUAUAAAAGAAAAAGGAUAUGUUUCCAAAUAUGGUAAUAAAAAUAAUAACAUAGACGAAGAUGUAAAAAGCUAUUAUCCUCAUACAAUACAUGCUCUUUUUUCUAUUCAAAAAAAAAAAAGAAAAAGUUUGAUAAAAAAUGAUAUGUAUGAAUGUGUUGAUAUUAAUUACGAUGAUACUAAGAAGAAUGAAAGUAGUAAUGGAGAGAAGUCGAUAAAAUCAUUAAUUUAUGAUAUAUUUUUAAAUACUAAUUUGAAUACUAAAAAGGAUAAUACUUUUAAUAUAAAUACCAAAGGUUCUACAACCAUUAGUACUACUAACGCUAUUAAUAAAACACGAAAAAAUAGAAAUUAUCAAAGUAAGCUACAAGAAACAAACAUAUUAAAGAAUAAUACAUACAGUGAAAAACAUAUCGAUUCAAACAAAAUCGUAAACAAACAAUAUAACAAAUAUAAAGAUAAUUUAAUUGCAAAAAUAGACGAAAAAAAAUAUGUAGAUAGUUACACUCAGCUAGCUGAAACAGAUAAAGAACUAACAUCAAUGCCUAAUGAUGUUACUUUUUAUUAUGAAAAAAUAAAAAUAGAGAAAGAAGAAAAAAAAAAAAACUGUU
rnacentral:lncRNA from 1 species